rnacentral:lncRNA from 1 species
UUUUACUUAUAUCUAUUUCUAUUCUCCACUGCCACCCGACUGACUUUUGUAAAUUGAGAUAACAGCAGGCAUUUAAUGGAAUCUGACAUCAAGUAAGGGACAAAGAAACUGGCAGCAUUGAGCAUGAGAUCCAGGAAGAAAAAGCAACACAAAGAUUCAGGAAAUGAAACCAGGACUAAAUCAUAUUAGGUGUAUAAAGGCUGGACUUUUAUAAAACAAGGAAAGAGUGGAUCAAAUGUCUGAGAGAGUGUUCUGACUGUAGAAAAUGCUAGAGCCUUGGUGAGGAAGCUGAUGUCUUCCCAGGUCCCAGAAGAAAGAA